CAUGUAAAUCCCUGGUGAUACCGGCGGUGACCGCGGUCAUUCUUCUUCUCCUGGUGCUCUGUGCGCACCUCACCUGGACUCUAAGAAAGAAAGCAGUUACAGCAGCCUGUGAGUCACACAGAACAGAACCAGUGACUCAGGAAAGAAUUAUAUAUUCACAACUGGACGUAUAUUAUCUAACAAACAGAAAAUAGCAGGAAUGUACACUUCCCAAAAAAUGCUAUACUGACCAAACUAAUUUAUUAUGUUAGCCAAA